AUCUGGCUGGCUUAGUCUGUGGAGCAUGAGACUCUUGAUCUCGGGGUUGUGAGUUCAAGUCCCACGUUGGGUC
rnacentral:tRNA from 1 species